rnacentral:rRNA from 1 species
UAGGGAAUCUUGCACAAUGGGCGAAAGCCUGAUGCAGCAACGCCGCGUGAGUGAUGAAGGUCUUCGGAUUGUAAAGCUCUGUCUUUUGGGACGAUAAUGACGGUACCAAAGGAGGAAGCCACGGCUAACUACGUGCCAGCAGCCGCGGUAAUACGUAGGUGGCGAGCGUUGUCCGGAUUUACUGGGCGUAAAGGGUGCGUAGGCGGAUGUUUAAGUGAGAUGUGAAAUACCCGGGCUUAACUUGGGUGCUGCAUUUCAAACUGGAUAUCUAGAGUGCAGGAGAGGAGAAUGGAAUUCCUAGUGUAGCGGUGAAAUGCGUAGAGAUUAGGAAGAACACCAGUGGCGAAGGCGAUUCUCUGGACUGUAACUGACGCUGAGGCACGAAAGCGUGGGUAGCAAACAGGAUUAGAUACCCUGGUAGUCCACGCCGUAAAACGAUGAGUACUAGGUGUAGGAGGUAUCGACCCCUUCUGUGCCGCAGUAAACACAUUAAGUACUCCGCCU